ACGCUGGCGGCGUGCUUAACACAUGCAAGUCGAACGAUGAAGCCUAGCUUGCUAGGUGGAUUAGUGGCGAACGGGUGAGUAAUACGUGAGUAACCUACCUUUAACUCUGGGAUAAGCCUGGGAAACUGGGUCUAAUACCGGAUACGACCAAUCUCCGCAUGGGGUGUUGGUGGAAAGCGUUAUGUAGUGGUUAUAGAUGGGCUCACGGCCUAUCAGCUUGUUGGUGAGGUAACGGCUCACCAAGGCGACGACGGGUAGCCGGCCUGAGAGGGUGACCGGCCACACUGGGACUGAGACACGGCCCAGACUCCUACGGGAGGCAGCAGUGGGGAAUAUUGCACAAUGGGCGCAAGCCUGAUGCAGCGACGCCGCGUGGGGGAUGACGGCCUUCGGGUUGUAAACCUCUGUUAGCAGGGAAGAAGAGAAAUUGACGGUACCUGCAGAGAAAGCGCCGGCUAACUACGUGCCAGCAGCCGCGGUAAUACGUAGGGCGCGAGCGUUGUCCGGAAUUAUUGGGCGUAAAGAGCUUGUAGGCGGUUUGUCGCGUCUGCUGUGAAAGGCCGGGGCUUAACCCCGUGUAUUGCAGUGGGUACGGGCAGACUAGAGUGCAGUAGGGGAGACUGGAAUUCCUGGUGUAGCGGUGGAAUGCGCAGAUAUCAGGAGGAACACCGAUGGCGAAGGCAGGUCUCUGGGCUGUAACUGACGCUGAGAAGCGAAAGCAUGGGGAGCGAACAGGAUUAGAUACCCUGGUAGUCCAUGCCGUAAACGUUGGGCACUAGGUGUGGGGGACAUUCCACGUUUUCCGCGCCGUAGCUAACGCAUUAAGUGCCCCGCCUGGGGAGUACGGCCGCAAGGCUAAAACUCAAAGAAAUUGACGGGGGCCCGCACAAGCGGCGGAGCAUGCGGAUUAAUUCGAUGCA
rnacentral:rRNA from 1 species